GUUGGUAUUAUCUACCCUGAUUGAAUGUGGUUCUCCAGGGGUUUCAGCUAGCAAGUCUCCCAGAUCUACCUGGAAAUGGCAGGGGCUGAAGCUGGGAACUUCUGCAUCUCAAGAAGAUGCUCUAUGACUAGGCUGAGCUUUCCCCAUUUAAAACUUUUUUCCCUAGAUAUAUGGGCCACAGAGAAUUUGAUAGUCACCAUGUGAAAUAUGAGCCUCAUUUGCCUAUGUGUGUGCGUGCGGGGAAGCACUGGGUGCUCAGGAUUUGCUGGAUUUGGGGGCAUGCAUUAAUUCUGCCUUUAUUACAUCACAGCUUGCUCCCUCAUCUGAAGGCAAUGUGAUUCUUCAGAGGUGUCUGCCCUUUUUGCUUUCUGCAGAACUGAGACACAAGGGCAAAUUCCUCUAUAGGAACACAGGAUGCUACCUUAUACAAAGUCCGACGGUUGGUCCAUCUAACUUAGUACAGUCAAAACUAACUAGCAGAGGUUCUCUGGGGUUUCAAAUAGGGAAUCAACCCAGCCCUGUCUGGGGAUGCCAGAUAUUGAACCUCUGGCCUUCUCAGUGCUUCCCCACCCGCAAGAGAAAUAGGUGCUGGAACUCACCACAAAGUUGUUACAGUAAGUCGUUGGGCAACUCAGGGCAACCCUGAACAAUUGCCGGUUUGACAACAAACCCACGGAGGUGCUAAAAGCUACUGCAAGUUGUCUCCCUAACCAGUUUGGAGUUCACCCCUGGUUCUGGUGCAGGUCAGAUAAAUGCACCCCUGCUUCCCUUAUUCUCUUAGAUUCAGGCAGGUGGCUAGGGCAUCUCAGAAAGGCCCUUGCAGAAACACACACAUGUGCAACAGUAGAGGCCUGGCAGGAAAGCUUAAAGCCUGCCGUUGCUACACGGGAGACUGAUUGAAGAAAAUGGAAUAUGAAUUUGCCCCACCCCAUAGCUUGACCAAUCACUGCUAGGAGCUAGGUGGAGUCAUAGUUCUGAAAAAAUUGUAGACUCACACAUGCUGACCAGCUUCCAUUUUGACUUGACAUGUUUGCUUUGGGCUUCUCAGAAGUACAUAAAAGGCAAGAAGCAGGUGGGAGGAUUGCCAGCCCACAAUGGCACCCACCUGAGAAGUGCCAGAACUGUGCUUCGACACACUCCGACUGAAAAAAAAAAAGCACUGGACCUUCUGCAUGCAUAGCAGGCCGGAUCUUCAUCUCGGUGAACUUGAGGGAGUACUGCCAGCCUGUCCAGGAGGACCACUCGAUGCCAUCGGCGUAGGAGCUGUGGUGACCCUUCAGGGCUGUACUUCAGUGGGGGAGCACAUGCUUCGUACAAAAAGGUCUCUGGGUCUAUCCUCUGCAUCCUCAGAUGCGGCUAGGAAUGUCCCUUUCCUGAAAUCCUGGAAAGCUGUUGCCAGUCAGUGUGGACUAUACUGAGCUUGAUGGAUGAAUGGUCUGACUCAGUAUCAGACAGCUUCAGAUGUUCCUACUUAAUUCAAUCAAUACUUAAGAACAUAAGAAGACCCUUGCAGGAUCAGGCCAAUGGUCCAUCUAGUCCAGCAUUCUGUCCUCACAGUGGCCAACCAGAUGCCUAUGGGAAACUGGCAGGCAGGAUCUGAGCACAAGAGCAGCACGCUCCCCUCCUUAAGUUUCCAGCAACUGGUAUUCAGAAAGCUUUGCUGUCUCCAACUAUGGAGGCAAAACAUAUCCAUCAUAGCUAACAGCUAUCAGCAGCCCUCCCCUCCAUGAUUUUGUCUAACCCUCUUUUAAAAGCAUCU